GGCGCUAUAGCCAAGUGGUUACGGCGACAGAUUAGAAUGUUUUCAGAUCUUCACGAUCGGAAUUGCCUAUCAUCUGUUCCUCUUUGAGGGCGUAGGUUCAAAUCCUGCUGGCGUCG